UGGGGAAUAUUGCACAAUGGGGGAAACCCUGAUGCAGCGACGCCGCGUGAACGAAGAAGGUAUUCGUAUCGUAAAGUUCUGUCCUAUGGGAAGAUAAUGACAGUACCAUAGAAGAAGGCUCCGGCUAAAUACGUGCCAGCAGCCGCGGUAAUACGUAUGGAGCGAGCGUUGUCCGGAAUUAUUGGGCGUAAAGGGUACGCAGGCGGUUUAAUAAGUCGAAUGUUAAAGAUCGGGGCUCAACCCCGCAAAGCAUUGGAAACUGAUAAACUUGAGUAGUGGAGAGGAAAGUGGAAUUCCUAGUGUAGUGGUGAAAUACGUAGAUAUUAGGAGGAAUACCAGUAGCGAAGGCGACUUUCUGGACACAAACUGACGCUGAGGUACGAAAGCGUGGGGAGCAAACAGG
rnacentral:rRNA from 1 species